rnacentral:lncRNA from 1 species
AUUUAAAAUUCACAUUUGUACGAGUUAAGCAAAAUUAAAGGUUGGAAAAGCUUCAUAUGAUAUUCAGGAGUAAAAAGUGUUUAGAAUCUUACUGGUUUCGAGCUUUGUCUUGGUGGGUUAACACCUACACUUUUCUUUGCUAUUUUUGAACCUUGUGUAAGCUUUUUUGAUGGUUUUUCUUCGUUUUUCUUGUGGGUUCAAGCUUAGGUAGGUGCUUGGAGUGAUUUGGGUGAAGAAAAUUGAAGGUUGAAGGUGGUUUUAAUGGAUUUCGAAUUUGUUGGAAAAGUGAUGAAAAGAUGAGUUUUUUUGGUUUUUCUCUUCUCUGUUUUUCUCAAAAAUCCCCCCCCCAUGCUCUGAAAUGUUACCUCUACUUAUACUAGAAAAUUAGGGUUUCAGGUGAAUCAAAAGACAAAAUUGAGAGUUAGAAAGAUUGUGACAUGAGGUGUUGAUGCAAUGGUUCAGUUUUUGCAGUAACACCAGAAUGGCAAAGAAAAAAGGUCAAUGAAGAAAGAGGGCAAGACUUGAAUUUGGUUUAGACAUAAUUUGAAACUCAUAGCAGGAAGC